UUCGGUACCACAAUGCGAAUAACGGUCAUACAAAGGCUAUUUGACAAACACAGCAAAAGGCAAGCACAAUUAAUCCACGGAAAAUCAAGCAGAUUGUAAACUGGGAAGAUAUAAAAUCAAGCAGCUAUCUUGAUUCUUGACACGUGCGGAGACACAUGGAGAAAACAAUUCUCUGAAAAAUAGACACCGAAAGAAAACAGCACACUUGUACUACUACUUAUCCACCCCUUCCUAUUUAAACUUGCACAUUAGCAUCCAUCAUCUGCCGUGCAACACCCACGAUGGUUGAAAGGGUUUGGUAAUUAGCCAUGUCCCUUGCACUGCCGGUAAGGAGCAUACCUAGUUCCAGGUCUCUCAUAUCCUCCAAGGCACCUUGCAAUUUUGUGCUAGUGUUCUUGUUCUGGAAUACUCUGAUGCAGUCUGGCUUGCGUUGCAUCAUCCAUGUACAUAACUUUGUCACUGUCUUGAUUAUUAUCAGAUACUCAAGUGAGGGACCCUUCCCUUCCAAGCUAUCAAAAGAGUGGCCCUUGCACUGUUCUAUUAUAUGAUUCAGUUUAUCCAUAAAGUCAUCCAUGGAAAGAGGAACGAGCGCAAGUGCAUUAUCAAAAUCAUCUGGACUGAUCUCCAGUUUGUCACAUAUCUCCAAUGUAAGGCCUAAGAAGGCUGCCAGGGAUUUUCUUUUAGCACCUUCGAGCUGAGCAACAGCCGGCAAAUUGUCACUAGGAUUGUUUCUGUUAGCAGCGUGAGAGUGGUGAGCCCCGAGAAAACUGUUCAAGCGAUAAAGUGCCCGAGAAAAUGGGGGGCGGCCCCGGUUGUGCUGUGGAGAACCCGUCUGAUUUGCAUUUGCUGCUUGUUGCUGCCCAAGGUUGUGCUGUGGAGAACCCACCUGAUUUGCGUUCGCUGCUUGUUGCUGGCCUGGGUUAUGUUGGGGAGAACCCGCCUGAUUUGCGUUUGCUGCUUGUUGCUGGCCUGAGUUGUGCUGUGGAGAACCCACCUGAUUUGCAUUAUUUGCUGCUUGUUGCUGGCCCGGGUUAUGCUGGGGAGAACCCACCUGAUUUGCAUUUGCAUUUGCUGCUUGUUGCUGGACCAGGUUAUGCUGGGGAGAACCCGCCUGAUUUGUGUAUGCUGCUUGUUGCUGGCCUAAGUUGUGCUGUGGAGAACCCACCUGAUUUGCAUUUUCUCCUUGCAUAUAACUUUGAGCACCUGCCAUGCCAAAAAACAAUUUAGUAAAGAACAAAACCUCUUAUUCGAAGAACAAGGGUGCAUGUGCGAUAUUUCGACAGCAAUGUUACAUCAAGUAAAAAGAAAAAUGGUGGUGCAUAUUCUACUCAUGAUGUGUACUACUCCCUCCGUUCGGUAUUACUUGUCGCAGAA
rnacentral:lncRNA from 1 species